rnacentral:rRNA from 1 species
UCAAAUGAAUUGACGGGGGCCCGCACAAGCGGUGGAGCAUGUGGUUUAAUUCGAUGCAACGCGAAGAACCUUACCUACUCUUGACAUCUACAGAAGCCAGCGGAGACGCAGGUGUGCCUUCGGGAACUGUAAGACAGGUGCUGCAUGGCUGUCGUCAGCUCGUGUUGUGAAAUGUUGGGUUAAGUCCCGCAACGAGCGCAACCCUUAUCCUUGUUUGCCAGCACUUCGGGUGGGAACUCCAGGGAGACUGCCGGUGAUAAACCGGAGGAAGGUGGGGACGACGUCAAGUCAUCAUGGCCCUUACGAGUAGGGCUACACACGUGCUACAAUGGCGCAUACAGAGGGCGGCCAACUUGCGAAAGUGAGCGAAUCCCAAAAAGUGCGUCGUAGUCCGGAUUGGAGUCUGCAACUCGACUCCAUGAAGUCGGAAUCGCUAGUAAUCGUGGAUCAGAAUGCCACGGUGAAUACGUUCCCGGGCCUUGUACACACCGCCCGUCACACCAUGGGAGUGGGCUGCAAAAGAAGUGGGUAGUUUAACCUUCGGGAGGACGCUCACCACUUUGUGGUUCAUGACUGGGGUGAAGUCGUAACAAGGUAACCG